AGCGAACGCUGGCGGCAGGCUUAACACAUGCAAGUCGAGCGCCCGUAGCAAUACGGGAGCGGCAGACGGGUGAGUAACACGUGGGAACGUGCCUUUUGGUUCGGAACAACUGAGGGAAACUUCAGCUAAUACCGGAUAAGCCCUUACGGGGAAAGAUUUAUCGCCAAAAGAUCGGCCCGCGUCUGAUUAGCUAGUUGGUGGGGUAAUGGCCCACCAAGGCUACGAUCAGUAGCUGGUCUGAGAGGAUGAUCAGCCACACUGGGACUGAGACACGGCCCAGACUCCUACGGGAGGCAGCAGUGGGGAAUCUUGGACAAUGGGCGCAAGCCUGAUCCAGCCAUGCCGCGUGAGUGAUGAAGGCCUUAGGGUUGUAAAGCUCUUUCAGC
rnacentral:rRNA from 1 species